UAGGCAUGUUGAUCAAUCGCGAUGGAAAAAAAACAACAAUAGCUUUUGAAUUGUCAUUAAAAAGACUACCGGAAUUCUGUUAAAAAAGCAAGUAGAACAAUAAACAAAACUAAUGUCAUUAGAUCGCUAGUCGAGCACUAGUCGACGACAAAAACGUCGCAUAUUUUGAAACUGAAAUCUUUAAAAAACAAGGCCGACGGCACAAGAUAUCCACCGAGAAGACUCUAUACACUAAUAACUGGACUUCUAUCAAUCCAAUUACGAAACGCAGUCCAACUGGCUUAGCAAAAUUACCCGAGGUUGAACAUAAUCAUGCGAGUCGGAACUGGUCAAAGACAGCGUGACGACGGCUUAGAAAAAGAAGAAAUAGGCGAUUGUCUGAGCAAAAUGAAGCUGGCAAGGGGAUUCGUGGACUAACGGACAGCUAAGGUACUUUUAAACACUGAUUAUGGAGUCCGUUUAUGAGAGUGUAUCUAAAAGAUACCAUAAAAUAGAUUGUAAACUGUGCUAUUUACUAGGAAUAAAGUAGUUUACUGUUUGUGA